CGGACGUAGCCAAGUGGAUUAAGGCGGUCGAUUGUGGAUCCUCAAUGCGCGGGUUCAAUUCCCGUCGUUCGCC
rnacentral:tRNA from 1 species